UGAUCUUAUUGUUCAUAUUGAACCUGGAACUUAAGAACCUAUUAAUUAUUGCCUGUAAAACAACAUUAAUCAUUAAAUAAAUAAAAAAAGAAAAAAAGUCUGUUUGAAC